rnacentral:lncRNA from 1 species
CAGGAACCUAGCAAGCUGCCCUCGUCUGAUUUCCCAGGAGUGGAGUUGGUGUCAUGGGGGAGACUGGAGGUGAGGGGUCAGGGGGCAGGAUAAGGUGCCAUCCUGAGCACCCUAUUCUCUGAGAAGCCUUCUCUGACUUCCUCCCAUGGGCAGACCAGCUUUUUCUCCUUGGAGCCACUACCGUAACACAGACAUUCCACCGUGUAGCAUCCGUGUCCAGUGCUGCAGUUACUGCCCAAGCAUCAGUGUCUCUACAAUGCUGUGAGUGCCAAGUGGGUAGAAGCCAUGUGAUAUGCUGCUGUACCCUCAGGCCUAAUACAGUGCUGGGCAUAGACUGUUUCCUGUUUCCUGUUUCCUACGAACACUUGCUGCAUUUGGAGUAGGAACGACAGCCCAGUCAGAGUGAAGAGACCAUGUCUGUUCCCACCUCCAACCAACUACCUGUGUGGACUUCAGCAAGUCACUUCACCUAUGAACCUUUAUCAAAAGGAUAGAACUGAAUUUCCUCUGAAGUUCUUCCGAAACUCAAAAUUCUUAAAGAAGAAAUAAACUUUAUGUAAAUGUCCACUGAAAAACUUUUAUGUAAAUGUCCACUGAAGAACUUGAUUCACCUGCAGCUACCUAAAUAUAAUGUUUCAUUAAUGAAUCACACAUUUCAAAAUGGAAAGAAAAAAAUUCACUGAGAGUAUUUUUUAAAUCUAUUGGAUGUUUAAACCCAGUGCUGAUUUUCCAGUAAACAUCCACACUCAUUUGCCCACAAGACUGAACUUUCUCAGGUGUCCGAUGCUAUGCGUGGUUUGCCCAAAGUUACCAACAGCUGCAAAGUGUUCUUUCCCAUAGCUUUCCACUCUGUGCAUAUUUAUCACUUCCUGUCCGCUUCUGAAAAUAAAAUGUGGAGUUGCAAAAAGUUUCUUAUGGGGGAUAUUUAACCAGCUAUUAAGCCAAAUAAACUUUAUGACAAAAUAAAUGUUAGAAAGUAGGACAAAAUGAUUUUUUUAGAACCUAACUAAAUAUUUAAAUAUUGGAGCGGAUGAUAUAUCAACACCAUGGGAUCUCAUAUAAACCCUAGAAACCUGGAGAUUAUAUUUCAGUAAUGUUUUAAUAAUAAAUAAAUUUGACUUUGAACUGGCUUAACAAAUUGUGUUUGUCAGUCAGAGGAGGCAUAACUAAUAAAUAAGACUGCUUAAAUGCUCUUUUUAAAAUGACUACUAUGUGAAGAAAUGUGGCCUGGAUCACAGAUAUAUUAAGUGGUCAAUAGCAAAAUUAAUAUGGGGUUUCCAUGAAC